rnacentral:lncRNA from 1 species
GGAAAUAGCAUUUUAUUUUGCAAUUUUCAAAUAUAUCAGAUUAUGUAAACUCCCACAACCACAAAUUUCAAAUAUUUUCAAACCGCAUUAACUUGGAAUUUAUUUAGUGUGCCAGACACUGCUGGAUGAGGAACUGAAUAAAAUACUAGACCUGACCUCAGAGAGCUCCCAGGUUAGUUGAGAGGCAUAAAGGGGAAGAAAUAAUUAACCGUGGAACAAGUGCAGUGGCAGAGGUACGUACAUACAAAGUGUUUUUGGGAGGGGCACAUGAGACUGCUUGGAGAGUUAAGGUUGAUGUUGAAAGGGCAUGAGGUUUGAGCUGGGUCUUAAGAGAUGGGUAGAGGUUCAGCAAGCAGAGAAAGAAUGAGGGCAUUUUCAGCCAGGGAAAUAGCACAGUUGACAACAUGCAAUGUUUUGCCACUCUAGAAAAGCACUGGAUUGUCUUUGUUUGUUGACAAUUUAAUCAUAUUUUACAGUUUGCUACUUUUGUUUUAACAUACACUCUUAUCUUUUAGGGGGCCACUGAAUGGUCUGACUGUUUCCAUAUUGCUGGUGAUAAUAAUCCACUGGCUGUGAAUAGAGCAGCAAAUAACAUUGCAUCUUUAUUGACCAAGAGCCAAAUUAAAGAAGGCAAACCCUCCUGGGGCUUGCCCAUAGAUGCUGUUCAGUGGGAUAUCUGCAAUCUGCCAUUGAGAACUGGCUCUGUGGAUAUUAUUGUAACAGAUUUGCCAUUUGGAAAAAGGUGAGAAUUGGUUGGGUUUUUUUUUAAUGAAUUUUACUUUCACUUGUUAUACUAGUACCUGCUUGUCUUCCAAAUGUGUCAUUAUUUUCCUUGCGUUUAUUCUAAGUCAGGAAAAAAAUCUUGAAUUUUAGCAGACUUAGCAGAGCUGUUUUUCACUUAACAACAUGAUGGAUUCACCCAUUAUGUUUCUUCUGAGAACUCAGGAAUGUAUUAACUACAUUUUGAAUCCUGACCAUCAUGGGAGGUUCAUUUUUAAAUUACCUGUAAUUCACUUUCUAGCCCAUUCUUGAAUUAUAUAUCUUACACAAAAAGGUGGUAGAAGACUUGGUUCUCAUUCUGUUUCUCAGCAUAAAUGAUUUUUUUUUUUUUUUUUUUUUUUUUUGGAGACAGAGCCCUGCUCUGUUGCCCAGGCUGGAGCGCAGUGGUAUGAUCUCGGCUCACUGUAACCUCUGCCUCCCGGGUUCAAGCGAUUCUCCUGCCUCACCCUCCUGAGUAGCUCGGAUUUCAGGCACAUGCCAUCAUGCCCAGCUUAUUUUUGUAUUUUUAAAAGACAGGGUUUCACCAUAUUGGCCAGGCUGGUCUCAAACUCCUGACUUCAGGUGAUCUGCCCGCCUCAGCCUCCCAAACUGCUGGCAUUACAGGCAUGAGCCACCAAAACACCUGGCCUAAAUGAUUUCUAAUCACUUGUUUGGUUUAUAC